CUCUAUCUCAUCUCAAUCUUAUCCCUCAUUCCAUUUCAUUCUUCUCUCUGCAGGUUUACUGUCGCUGGUGGGGGUUCCGUGGGGCUAGCGCGGCCUCGUUGGGGCUGGACGACGCAGCGGCCUGGGACUACUCGAUAAAGCUUGCAGCAGGGUUACCCAAUUUGUUUUGAUGGUGUGAAAUCUUUCAUUCCACAAGCUUGAUCUCUUCACUCUCUUAAGAAAGGUUGGAUUUGUGGAUAUUCUAAUGAGAGGUGAUAAUGGCCAUACCUUUUUUAAUCCAAUGAUUUGAUGGUUUGUUCUGUUUUCUUUGACUGUUUCUUUUGUUAUAUAUACUAGCUGUAGGAAUAAUGAUCUACUAGGCGAUGUGAAAAUGUGGACAAAUACAUCCUUUAAUUCUCAAUGCAUCCAUUAUUCUUUUCUA